CGGGACGGGUGAGUAACGCGUGGGUAACCUGCCUCAUACAGGGGGAUAACAGUUAGAAAUGACUGCUAAUACCGCAUAAGCGCACAGAAUCGCAUGAUUCGGUGUGAAAAACUCCGGUGGUAUGAGAUGGACCCGCGUCUGAUUAGCUAGUUGGUGGGGUAAAGGCCUACCAAGGCGACAAUCAGUAGCCGACCUGAGAGGGUGAUCGGCCACAUUGGGACUGAGACACGGCCCAAACUCCUACGGGAGGCAGCAG
rnacentral:rRNA from 1 species